rnacentral:rRNA from 1 species
GAUGAACGCUGGCGGCGUGCUUAACACAUGCAAGUCGAGCGGACAGACGCGGCGCUUGCGCGUCGCACGUUUGCCGCGGGCGUGAGUGUAACGCGUGUAUAACGUACUUAUAAGACGGGGAUCACCUGGGGAAACCGGAGCUAAUACCGUAUAAGAUAUUGAACCGCAGGGUGCAAUAGUAAGAGACGGUGGUGCUGUCAGUUAUAGAUGCUUCCACGCUGCAUUAGCUAGUUGGGAAGGUAAAGGAUUACCAAGGCAACGAUGCGUAGCCGACCGGAGAGGGUGAUCGGCCACACUGGAGCUGAGACACGGACCAGACUCCUACGGGAGGCAGCAGUAGGGAAUCUUCCGCAAUGGGCGCAAGCAUGACGCAGCAACGCCGCGUGAGUGAUGAAGGCCUUCGGAUCGUAAAACUCUGUUAUUAGGGAAGAACCGAUGUGUACGUAAAUAAGGCCGUAUUGACGGUACCUAAUCAAAAAGCACCGGCUAACUACGUG